rnacentral:rRNA from 1 species
CCGAUCUGGGAAGUCAAGCU